rnacentral:rRNA from 1 species
CCUACGGGAGGCAGCAGUAACGAAUCUUCCGCAAUGCGCGAAAGCGUGACGGAGCAAUGCCGCGUGCAGGAUGAAGCUCCUCGGAGUGUAAACUGCUGUCAGGGUUUAGCAACACAAUGAGCAGACCCAAAGGAAGGGCCGGCUAACUUCGUGCCAGCAGCCGCGGU